rnacentral:rRNA from 1 species
GACGAACCGUCCAAACGUUAUUCGGAAUCACUGGGCUUAAAGGGUGCGUAGGCGGUCCGGGAAGUUGGGUGUGAAAGCCCUCAGCUCAACUGAGGAAUUGCGCCCAAAACUGCCGGGCUGGAGGGAGACAUAGGUGAGCGGAACUUAGGGUGGAGCGGUGAAAUGCGUUGAGAUCCUAAGGAACACCAGUAGCGAAAGCGGCUCACUGGGUCUCUUCUGACGCUGAUGCACGAAAGCUAGGGGAGCGAAGAGG